rnacentral:rRNA from 1 species
UAGCCCAGGGAAACCUGGAUUAAUACCGGAUGAGACGGGACCCGCGAUCGGCGGGAUCCGGGAAAGGCGCUGCGGCGCCGCCGGGGGAUGAGUCUGCGUCCCAUUAGCUAGACGGCGGGGUAACGGCCCACCGUGGCGACGAUGGGUAGCCGGCCUGAGAGGGUGACGGCCACAUUGGAACUGAGACACGGUCCAGACUCCUACGGGAGGCAGCAGCUAAGAAUCGUUCCGCAAUGGGCGAAAGCCUGACGGAGCGAACCGCCGCGUGAACGAAGAAGGCCGUGAGGUUGUAAAGUUCUUUUCGGGAGGGGGAACAACCGUGGCAGGGAAUGGCCGCGGGAUGACGUGAAUCCCGGAAUAAGCCCCGGCUAACUACGUGCCAGCCGCGGC